rnacentral:rRNA from 1 species
UGAUCCUGGCUCAGAUUGAACGCUGGCGGCAGGCCUAACACAUGCAAGCCGAACGGUAACAGAAAGUGCUUGCACUUUGCUGACGAGUGGCGGACGGGUGAGUAAUGCUUAGGAACUUGCCUUUUGGUGGGGGAUAACAGUUGGAAACGACUGCUAAUACCGCAUAAUGUCUUUGGACCAAAGGGGGCUUCGGCUCUCACCAAGAGAGAGGCCUAAGUGAGAUUAGUUAGUUGGUGGGGUAAAGGCUUACCAAGACGACGAUCUCUAGCUGUUCUGAGAGGAAGAUCAGCCACACUGGGACUGAGACACGGCCCAGACUCCUACGGGAGGCAGCAGUGGGGAAUAUUGCACAAUGGGGGGAACCCUGAUGCAGCCAUGCCGCGUGUGUGAAGAAGGCCUUCGGGUUGUAAAGCACUUUCAGUUGUGAGGAAAGGUUGGUAGUUAAUACCUGCCAGCUGUGACGUUAACAACAGAAGAAGCACCGGCUAACUCCGUGCCAGCAGCCGCGGUAAUACGGAGGGUGCGAGCGUUAAUCGGAAUUACUGGGCGUAAAGCGCACGCAGGCGGUUUGUUAAGCGAGAUGUGAAAGCCCCGGGCUCAACCUGGGAGGGUCAUUUCGAACUGGCAGACUAGAGUUUUGGAGAGGGGAGUGGAAUUCCAGGUGUAGCGGUGAAAUGCGUAGAUAUCUGGAGGAACAUCAGUGGCGAAGGCGACUCCCUGGUCAAAGACUGACGCUCAUGUGCGAAAGUGUGGGUAGCGAACAGGAUUAGAUACCCUGGUAGU